GCAACAAAAACCGGGAUCUGAGCGUGGAGGCCUGGGCGAGCGGAAGAGUGGGAGAGAGGGGCUAGGCCGGGGAGGGAAGCGCUGGGGCCGGGGCCGGCUUCCCAGGAGCCGGCGGGAGCCGGGCGCGUAGGAGGCGGGCGAGGAAGAACUCUUCGGCAGAGGUGGAGCUCUCCCUCAGCGACCCCUCUCGCCGAGUGAGGGGUCGAAGGUUUGCGGCACAAAGGGCGCAGAACGUUUUUUUCUGUGAGAAGAACAUUAAGAAUCCUGGGAGGGCUGGGGCUAAUGCCUCCGAGAGCCCCAUCUGGCCAGCCUAGGGUUAGACGUGUAGCCAGGGUGCUGGGAGGGGGCCGCCGCUGGGCCCCAGAUAGAGGGGUGGAGGCCACUCAAUCAUGGAGCCAGGCCCCACCUGCUGUAGAAACCGCCACCGAGAGCCGGCCGGGCUUGCUGCACGCUCUGGAUUCCGCCUGCCCAUAGGCGAGGCACAAGGGACUGCGAGACCAGGCCUGAGGGCAGAGAGGUCAGCAGGCUCGGGUGGCUCUGCUCCAGCGGACAAGCGCACCGGGCGGGAACGGCCGCCUCCCCAGGCGCUGCAGCCCAGCUCUCAUGUGACCCAGGGAACUUAGCCCCUCUGUUCUGUUUGCAUACCUGCAAAGUGUGGGCAUUCACGCCGGGCCUGCCAACUCACCAGGUUAUUUAUAGUGACAAGAGAGUGAGACAGUGGGCUUGAAAGUGUUUUCCAAACCAAGGCUUUGUCCCACAUAUAGGUGGAUUAACUGUCUGGCAAAGGCAGGUCUCUUCUUUGGCCUCUCUGACAUGGUGCCAGCCCUACUGGAGUUAGCAGGGGUCCAGCACGACAGAUGGUGGUCAGUGGUGACUUCGGCACAGGCAGUUCGCGAGGAGUGGUUGGUGGCCAUGGAGUCCUGACUGGAGUAGGUUAAAAAGAGGGAGGAAAAUCACAAGAAAGAGAGACUGGAGCUUUAUAGAGAUAAAAUUCACAUGCUGUAUAAUUCAUCCAUUGAAGACGC